rnacentral:rRNA from 1 species
UACGUAGGGGGCUAGCGUUGUCCGGAAUCAUUGGGCGUAAAGCGCGUGUAGGCGGUCCGGUAAGUCCGCUGUGAAAGUCGGGGGCUCAACCCUCGGAUGCCGGUGGAUACUGUCGGGCUUGAGUACGGAAGAGGCGAGUGGAAUUCCGGGUGUAGCGGUGAAAUGCGCAGAUAUCAGGAGGAACACCAAUUGCGAAGGCAGCUCGCUGGGACGUUACUGACGCUGAGACGCGAAAGCGUGGGGAGCAAACAGG